rnacentral:rRNA from 1 species
GCUACGGGAGGCAGCAGUGAGGAAUAUUGGUCAAUGGACUCAAGUCUGAACCAGCCAAGUAGCGUGCAGGAUGACGGCCCUCCGGGUUGUAAACUGCUUUUAGUUGGGAAUAAAAGGGGGCUCGUGAGCCCCGUAUUGUAUGUACCAUCAGAAAAAGCAUCGGCUAACUCCGUGCCAGCAGCCGCGGUAAUACGGAGGAGGCGGGCGUUAUCCGGGUUUUUUGGGUUUGAAGGGUGCGUAGGCGGUCCGUUAAGUCAGCGGUAAAAUUGCGGGGCUCAACCCCGUCGAUCCGUUGAAACUGGCAGACUUGAGUUGGCGAGAAGUACGCGGAAUGCGCGGUGUAGCGGUGAAAUGCAUAGAUAUCGCGCAGAACUCAGAUUGCGAAGGCAGCGUACCGGCGCCAGACUGACGCUGAGGCACGAAAGCGUGGGGAUCGAACAGGAUUAGAUACCCUUGUAGUC